GGUGGCAGACAGUCUACAUUUGGAAAGUAACACUGAGGCCGACACCAUGUGACAUCCUUGAGAAAUGACACCAUCUUGUGAGUCGAUUGGCCUGAGGGAUGGAGGAGCACCGGGAGUAGCCGGGUGCCGGAGUGAGCCAUCCAUCCUGGGUACCUGGAGGAGGAGGGGGUCCGGGUGUCGUUCCACCUGCCUGCUGAAUAAAUCAUCGUUUAGUCUAUUCUGCAGCUGCAGUCCAAUUAACCAAAGGGGACCCUAUGAAUGCAGUUAGGUGGCAUGAUUAAUUACGCAGCACUGACAAUACAGACCAUAGCUCACAACAUCCCAAAGGGCAGCCAGUGAGCAUGGCUUUACUUUGCAGAUUUUAGCUUCUUUUUAAAGUAUUGUUCCCUUUGACAGCACAAUAUUAUUAUUGGAAGUGUUUACCAUUUUGCUGACAUACAAUAACUAAUUAUGGCCGAAUCCGAUGCCCGGUCCACAUUUAAAAGCCGCAGAAGCUCUCGCACACACCCACAAGCAAGCAAACUCAUCUGCGCAUUCACGUAUUUCGAACAUACAUUAGUCAUCUGCAGCAAUCUCAGCCUGAAACUUACUGCACAGCUAAAUAUUUAGCAAGCAAAGAUUUUCAUCUCUUGGAUCUAAAGUGUGCCCAGAAUAGUAAUUUUAUGUGCCAUUAUUUCCUUUUACAUGGCCCAUGACAAAGUUCUAAUUCUUACUACUCCAGCUCAUUUAAAUAGUGCCUUUAAUUGAACAUAAAAAGGCAGCGGAGAAGGUGGAAGGGAAAGGUUAAUGGGACUGACACAAAGGGCAGACAGCAGAAGAAGUCUAGCCUGAAGUGUCACAUCCUGCUUGCAUCACAGCCCAUACAAGGAGCCAAUUAGGCCUGGUCAGUAAUUAAGCCAACUCCAGUGGCCCAGUUCUGGCCUUAGCUUUCUGGGGGAUUAAAGCUCUCUCCAAGACAACUGCUGGUAAUGACCUCCAUCCUUCCAUCAACGAUAUGCUCACACACUGACGUUUGACUGCUGCCACAUCAAAUAGAAAGGUCACAGAGGAUGUAACAAAUGAGAACAAAGAAAAGGGGAGACAAGGAAGUAAUUGCAGGCAGGUUUGGUCAAUGGAAGAAAGACGGCUUGGUCACUGUUUGCUCUUAAGCCGUCUUUAUUGAAGAUGUUGCAGCACACAACAUUACCAUCCCCAUCUCUCUAUUUCCAGCAUGUGUGGUAAACCUAGAUGUGACAUUUCCAGCUUAAAGGUUACAUUCAGUUUCAAAGUUAAAAUGCACGCAAGAUCUCUGUUUACGGCAUGUAUUAGCAAUGCAGUGUUUAUAUGAGCCUUCCAAAUGGUUUAGUGGAAGUUAUAUGUUGAAUAAGCUACUCAAUAUUCUACAUUAUCUAAAAAGUGAACCGGCACACAACUCCACCAGUUUUUGUUAUAAAACUUUUGGUUUUAUAACACUGUUCUUCAGUCCCGCCACUCUCAUUGAGGUCAUUUCCAACUGCAAUAUGCAGUUGUUUCCAGCAAAAAGCUUUAAUAUGCCCACUCUGCUACCUACUGAACACCCAACAGCUGCCAGAGUAAGUCUGAUAUUUCCCUCAGGAGUUGUAGGAAACCAAAACCAGAGCUGAGAGGAGAGUGAAAAGUGAACCUAAGUACACCAUGUGGACAAAACACCACUACAAAGUAAUGUUUUGCUAUUCCGGCUUGAUGCUGUGCAAAUAAACAAUGAUUGCUUUUACAGGGUGAUAAUAUAUCUGUAGUUGUGUUUCCAUAAAACUGUCAAAAGAAUUUGAGGCAAACUUUUGACAUGUUGAAAAAACUACGAAUUAUGCUUGUUUAGAUUCAAUACGAGUGUCCUCACAGUGUGGCGGUAGAGGCUACAGUAACUGGAGGCUGGAAACAAAACCAAUUGCUUUGCUUGCCAACUGCUAAAAAAGCCACCUUUGCAAGAAAAAUGGAGAAAAGUGAUUUCACUUGGGGGAAAUUGUACUUAUUCUUCCACGCUAGCUUGAGUUGAGGAUGUUUCAUGUAGUCAAAAACAAUGAAAGAAGCAGAAGCAUCUCAUCACACAUCUUUUUUUUUGUGAGAUUGAGGAACUUUUUUGAAUUUUGUUGUUUCCAUUAACCUUUUCUGAUACUUCAAAAUGCACCUAAAAUGCAUUGGGAUAAUUCAAUUCAUUUUUAGAAUGCUGCUGAACCAUCUCUAAUUUGCCAGAUUUUUUAAUAGCCUGAAAUAUGAAUAUUUAUAGAGGUAUUUGCACAUUUUACAAAGUAUUCUAGAUUUUUUGUUUUGCAUUAUUGUAACAUGCAACUACCUAUAGUAUGGGAAAUACCACUAAUUGUCUUCUGCAUGCUCUGUUAAUGUGGGCCCAAAAAGAUAAGACUUGUCAUGGCAGCUUUUGAUCUACUUGUUCAAUAUUGCAGAUUCUGAGACAACUGCAUGAUGAAAAAUAAAAGUGAAAAUUUUCGGUUUUUGAAAGAUUCCUGAGAUAAUGUCAUUCAAACAUAGUCACAAUUUGUAUUGUGUGAAAACCAGCUGACAGUGGAUUGACAGGCAAUUUAACAAAUAUAUAUUUUCUGGGAAAGCAUUUGAUAAAUCGAUCUAAAAUUUCUCACACACUAUUUUAAAUAUUCAUAGUUUACAAUAAAAAAGUUUGAAGCAAUUCAGAGAUGAUGGAGCAGAAGGGCCCUGGUGAUUUUAGAUGGAAUAACCCACUGUGGAGACAGCUAGUGCUGUGUUUACAACUUGUUGCAAUGACCCAUAUCUCAAAGAUUAAUGCAGGAAAAAAAAAAGACAUUUGCUGAAAUACAUCUAUUCCUGGCUGAGACUUAGAUGAGAAGCUCUUAUGGCCAUUUUCAUGUCUGUUCAAUAAAUAAGGCUACAGCCAGCAGCCGGUUAGCUCAGUUUAGCUUAGCAUAAAGACUGGAAACAGUAACAGCCGAUAGCCUGGCUGUGUCAGAAGGUAGCAAAAUUUGUUUACCUCUACCUCUAAAGUUCACUAAUUCUAUUUAACAAUUCUUGCCAUUUAAAAAAAAAAAGAGUUGCCUUUCAUUUACCGAGAUAGCUGUCUUUAUGUGAAAUUUCUUCUUAGCAACUUGCAUUAAAAUUUAACAAACGCCACAGAAUAUUUUUUCUAAUUAAAACUACAAGAUACAAAGAAUUUAAAUAUAUAUUUCAUAAAAGACAUACAGGCAUGUUGUUCCCUGAGGUUUAAUGUUUAAGACAUUAAAAACUCAGAGGGGAUAGAGGGAUUGAAUUCAGCUCCAAUGAUGAAACAGUCCAAUGAAUGCAUGUGUAGAAUCUCUCUUGAAUGUAUAAUAAUUGGAUGGUACUGAGGCUGGAUUUGCUAUAACCAUUUGUGCUUUUUGCAAAUGGUACAUCUGCAACAUAUCCCAGCUUCACUUUGUACCACACAGAAGAACAGAUACUCUAAUUAGAGUUGAAAAACAAACGGCACAUGCAUAUACUAAACUCAGCGCUGUAAAUAUCAAAAUAUCAAGGCAAAUGGUGAUCUGAGAGAGUCUUACAAAGCAGUUCACUGGAAGGAUUUAUCGAAUUCAUUCAUUUUUAAAAAGACUUUCUCCUGUAAAACUGAUCAAUAGCUAUAUCAGCAUUAAUAUUUAAUGCUACAACUGCCACAUUCACCUAUGUUCCAAAAAUAAACUAUUAAUUUUUCAUAGUAUUUGUACAUAUUGAAGUCAGAACAGACACUGAACAGAAACAGAUGACAUGAAUGAACACACUUGCAGAUGCCUAAAUAAAGCGCCACUUUUCAGUUUUCAUACAUUAUUCAUUUGUGUCAACUUGCAACUUGGAAGGAUACAAACAUGAUAUUAAUCUGCAAUAAGUCCAGGUGACAGCCAGUUAGAGGUGCUGCUGCAAUCUUUAGGGUCCAAACAUCAAAGGUUUCUUCCUGUUGCUGCUGGCUAAUGUUCCUCUGGACGAAUAAACAUUUUUAUCAGUAAAUAUCUUACAGGUUUACUUCUUCGCCUCACGCAAUUUACAGGUUUAAUUUAAGGUACUCAAACACAUUUUAACAGUUUUGAUCCUCCUAGAAGCAGCCAGAACACAAGCCGAGUUAUCCUCAACACUGCAACAGUAAAGACGGUUAAGUUUUGAUGGACUGGUGAGAAAUAUCACAAGCAAAAGCAAUUAAGAUAAGCUCAAAUGCUCAAUAUGAUUUUUACAUUUUCAGACCAGGCCAUAACUCUAUUUAAAAAAUUUCCUUUGUGACCAUGAGGGUACAUCUUUGUACAAUUACGCGAUACUGCAUGCAAGUGCUACUGCACUUAUAUUUGCAUUCUGACAGUCGCUAAAUCUUUGUAUAUUUUUCUAAUAUAACCUCAAAGGCUUUUAUUCUGUCGCUGGCCAUUGAUAAUCCUGUUGAAUAAACAUCAUUUUCAUGCGUAAA